AAGUCGUAACAAGGUAACCGUAGGUGAACCUGCGGUUGGAUCAUUAAUAAAAUGACAAUGCAAACAGGGGUUUAGGGACAUUCUCCCUGCUCUCCUGCGUCUCACGCAAGUGAGUCGGCAAACCUCUUGUGAACUGUUCCAGUCUCUGGCGGAUGGGUAUUUGCAGCUGUCUGGCUGCGUACCUGCCAGCGUAGUUUGGAAAUGUGCGUUAUCUUUUCGACAGUGCAUAUUCCGACUACGCCGUGGGCAAGCCGCCAAAAGUGUCGAAAAACCAUUGUAUUUUGUAUUUGUCUGACCUUUUUCUCAGCGUAUUUGCGCAUUUGCAACAAUACCAUGAAAAAAACAACUUUUGGCAACGGAUCUCUUGGCUCUC
rnacentral:misc_RNA from 1 species